rnacentral:rRNA from 1 species
GACGAACGCUGGCGGCGUGCCUAACACAUGCAAGUCGAACGGGGCUCUUUGGAUCGAGACUUCGGUCAAGUGAAUCUGAGCUUAGUGGCGGACUGGUGAGUAACACGUAAGCAACCUGCCUAUCAGAGGGGAACAACAGUUAGAAAUGACUGCUAAUACCGCAUAUGCCUUGAGUAUCGCAUGAUAUAAAAGGGAAAGGAGCAAUCCGCUGAUAGAUGGGCUUGCGUCUGAUUAGAUAGUUGGUGGGGUAACGGCCUACCAAGUCGACGAUCAGUAGCCGGACUGAGAGGUUGAACGGCCACAUUGGGACUGAGAUACGGCCCAG